UAACUGCCGUAGAAUGAGCAAGUUAUAGAAGAAAGCCCAUAAACAGUGACUACCAGCCAUUAGCCCACUAUCCAGGUUUAGCUCAGCCCAUGGCCUUCUUACAAGUAUCGAGCUUGCUACGGGCUGCACCGACACGAGCAGGAUGAGGCUGUUGGGCAAGCACGUCUCCGCUAGGCAGGUCGCGCUCUUCGCCGCAGGGUAAGUCGCCGCCGCCCGCCGCCGCCUGUGCUGCCGUGUUGGUCUUACCCGUUUGCUUUUCCCUCGCUCCUCGAUGGUGACACGCGGUGUUAUUCUCUUGGUUUGGUAUCUGCAGGCUCGUGUUCUUCGGGGCGACGACGUACGACGUGCAUCGGUCCAUCAAGAACAACGAUCAGCCGCCGACGAGGGAGCAGAUGGAGGCGCUGCAGCAGUACAUCGACUCCAAGAAGCGUUAGGACGAACAGGUCAGCGCCGCCUCUGCCAGCUAAUCGUGAUGCGUUUGCUAAGAUCAUAAUUAAAAAAAUAAUGGAAUUAGGGGAAGAGAUCACCCAAGCUCCAAGGGGGUUGCGCGGCAUGUGUUCGACGUUAAUCUCCCGAGAAACUUGUGUAAAUUGAUAUACAGAAGCCAAGCUGCGUGUAACUAAAUCUAGUGGUACAGUUUUUUAGGAUCCAUGGACCAUGGUCUUGCAUAGUUUUAUUGCUCCAAUGUAUGUAAGCCUGAUGAUGCAGUGGUGCUCAUGGCAUGAGAGUCCUGUGGCUGCCUGUAGAACAGAGCAGACGCCCGUAAGUGUGAGCCGUCCCUUACACAUGUAUCACUUCUUUAAAAUGAAAAGUUUUCGUCAACAAAAGGAAUAAGAAUGAUCUCUACUUCUUCCUUCCUGUUACCGGUGCUCAUAUUCUUCAGUCUUCGCUGAAUAUAAACAAUGUCGAGCCGACAUACACACCAUUGACAUUGUAAUCACAUACAUCAUGCAGUGGCCGGCCUUAGUAUCUCUCUCAGAUAACAAUGUAUUAUGUUUUCUGAAGAGAACGGGCAAAAGAUCUCCCGCACGGAAGAUAUGAUUGCCACUUUGUUUAAUAACGUAGCAACUACAGA
rnacentral:lncRNA from 1 species